UGGGGAAUUUUGGACAAUGGGGGCAACCCUGAUCCAGCCAUGCCGCGUGUCUGAAGAAGGCCUUCGGGUUGUAAAGGACUUUUGUUAGGGAAGAAAAGGGAAGUGCUAAUACCACUUUUUGCUGACGGUACCUAAAGAAUAAGCACCGGCUAACUACGUGCCAGCAGCCGCGGUAAUACGUAGGGUGCGAGCGUUAAUCGGAAUUACUGGGCGUAAAGCGAGCGCAGACGGUUACUUAAGCAGGAUGUGAAAUCCCCGGGCUCAACCUGGGAACUGCGUUCUGAACUGGGUAGCUAGAGUAUGUCAGAGGGGGGUAGAAUUCCACGUGUAGCAGUGAAAUGCGUAGAGAUGUGGAGGAAUACCGAUGGCGAAGGCAGCCCCCUGGGAUAAUACUGACGUUCAUGCUCGAAAGCGUGGGUAGCAAACAGGAUUAGAUACCCCCGUAGUCC
rnacentral:rRNA from 1 species